UUGAUAGCACAGUGGUUAGAGCAUCUGCUUUGAGUGCAGAAUGUCCCGGGUUUAAUCCCCAGGGCUGGGGAAAAG